GCUCGAGUGGCGAACGGGUGAGUAACACGUGAGUAACCUGCCCUUGACUUUGGGAUAACGUCAGGAAACUGGGGCUAAUACCGGAUAGGAGCUCCUGCUGCAUGGUGGGGGUUGGAAAGUUUCGGCGGUUGGGGAUGGACUCGCGGCUUAUCAGCUUGUUGGUGGGGUAGUGGCUUACCAAGGCUUUGACGGGUAGCCGGCCUGAGAGGGUGACCGGCCACAUUGGGACUGAGAUACGGCCCAG
rnacentral:rRNA from 1 species